AUUGAACGCUGGCGGCAGGCCUAACACAUGCAAGUCGAGCGGAUGAAGGGAGCUUGCUCCUGGAUUCAGCGGCGGACGGGUGAGUAAUGCCUAGGAAUCUGCCUGGUAGUGGGGGAUAACGUCCGGAAACGGGCGCUAAUACCGCAUACGUCCUGAGGGAGAAAGUGGGGGAUCUUCGGACCUCAUGCUAUCAGAUAAGCCUAGGUCGGAUUAGCUAGUUGGUGGGGUAAAGGCCUACCAAGGCGACGAUCCGUAACUGGUCUGAGAGGAUGAUCAGUCACACUGGAACUGAGACACGGUCCAGACGACUACGGGAGGCAGCAGUGGGGAAUAUUGGACAAUGGGCGAGAGCCUGAUCCAGCCAUGCCGCGUGUGUGAAGAAGGUCUUCGGAUUGUAAAGCACUUUAAGUUGGGAGGAAGGGCAGUAAGUUAAUACCUAGCUGUUUUGACGUUACCAACAGAAUAAGCACCGGCUAACUUCGUG
rnacentral:rRNA from 1 species